rnacentral:rRNA from 1 species
AUGAAGUGGCAGCCGUUCAUGUCCAUGUUCGUGCUGAACAAGAUGUGUGAGCUCAUCUCUAAUGGAGUUAGGACUGACAAGGGCUUCAAGGAGGUGCACUUGAACACCGUUGCGAAGCAGGUGUUCGAGUUCUGUGGGCAAGAGGUGUCUGCCACCCAGGUGACCACCCAAGGGGCGCUGGCAACUGGGAAGCAUGCCAUGGGCUCGGGUGAGCCUCUUGGUUCUCCCAUGCCAGACUUCCCUGGGACACCGGACGUCGAGGUCCUUGAUGGCCCUAACAAGCCCGCUGCGAAGCCCUUCAACAAGCCAUUUGACCCCAACCAUGAUAGGAAGAGGAAGAGAGGAGGCCUGAUGGAGGAGGAGAUCAAUGUCUUUUGCAGCAUGACUGAGGCGGUGAAGGAGGUGGCAACAGCCAUCAGGGAGUGCAAGCCCCUCGAUGUCCACCCUGACCUGUAUGGCGCUGUCAUGACCCAGGGUGGAUUCAGCGACGAGGCUCUCAUGGCAGCUCUCAGCCACCUGCUUGACAACAAGGCUCAGGGUGUUGGGUUCGUUGCCAUGGCUGACACUCACAGGGGCAAGUGGUAUGCCGUGUUCAUCGGUGAGGUUCCAGGGGUUUAUAGUUCAUGGGAAGAAGCCAAUGUACAAGUGGCAUCGUAUAGCAACUGCAACUAUAGAGGGUUCAAAACUAGGCAGGCAGUAGAACAAGCUUACUCCGCCUGGGUGCGAAAGCACGGAGGCAACAGUGUCGACAGUGCCAAGGUUGGAGUUGUCAAAGUGGAAGCUGCUAAGGUGGAUCGU